GGUCAAGCUACUAAGGGCGUGUGGGGGAUGUCUUGGCGUCAGAAGAAAGGGCGUGGAAGGCUGCGAUAAGCUCGGGGAAGCCGUCAAACAGGCGUUGAUCCCGAGAUCCCUAGAGUAACGCGGUAAAGUGAAACAUCUCAGUAACCGCAGGAAAAGAAAGAAAACUCGAUUUCCCAAGUAGCGGCGAGCGAAACGGAAAGAGCCCAAACCGUGGUCUUCGGACUGCGGGGUUGUGGGGCUACCAAUACGGAGUUACAAACCGAUGGCCAGCAGAACGUGAUGGAAUGCACGACCGUAGCGGGUGACAGUCCCGUAUGCAAACGUUCAUCGGCUCCUGGUAGAACCCCGAGUAAAGCCAGUCACGUGGAACCUGGCUUGAAUCCGGGAGGCCCAUCUCCCAAGGCUAAAUACUCUCUGACGACCGAUAGUGAACGAGUAGCGCGAGCGAAAGAUGGGAAGAACCCCUGUUAGGGGAGGAUACUGAACCUGAAACCACAUGCCUACAAGCGGUCGGAGCCCUAUGCAGCAAUGCAGGGUGACGGCGUGCCUUUUGCAUAAUGAUCCGACGACUUACUUUCAUUGGCACGGUUAAGGCCUUACGGGCCGAAGCCAUAGGGAAACCGAGUCUGAAUAGGGCGAUAAAGUCAAUGGAGGUAGACGCGAAGCCUGGUGAUCUACCCAUGGGCAGGUUGAAGCGCGGGUAAGACUGCGUGGAGGACCGAACUCACUAGUAUUGAAAAACUAGGGGAUGACCUGUGGGGAGGAGUAAAAGUCUAAUCAAACCAGGGGAUAGCUCGUUCUCUCCGAAAUAGCUCUAGGGCUAGCCUUGAGUCACUACAUUACGGGGGUAGAGAUACUGAAUUCGCUUGGAGGCCUACCCGGCUAUCCUGCGGAGCCAAACUCCGAAUACCGUAAUGACUAACUCGGGAGACAGUCCCUGAGGGAUAAGCUUCAGGGUCGAGAGGGAAACAACCCAGAUCGCCUGCUAAGGCCCCAAAGUUCUGCCUAGUCAAAAAGGAUGUCAGGAUACAGUGACAGCCAGGAUGUUGGCUUAGAAGCAGCCACCAUUUAAAAAGUGCGUAAUAGCUUACUGGUCGAGUGUCUUAACACCAAUAAUGAUCGGGAGUCAGCAGAACGCCGAAGCAGCGGAUUCAGCGUAAGCUGAGUGGUAGGAGAGCGUUCCAGGACAGAUACAAGCCGUACCGUAAGGAGCGGUGUAGGGUCCUGGAAGUGAUUAUGUCGGAAUGAGUAACGAUCAGGCAGGUGAGAAUCCUGCCCGCCGUAUGCCUAAGGUUUCCUGGGGAAGGUAAAUCCGCCCAGGGUUAGCCGGUCCCUUAGUCCAGGCCGAAAGGCGUUGACGAUGGAUGGCAGGUUAAUAUUCCUGCGCCGCUGUGAAAUACCGAUGGGGGGACGUUGUCUGAAUCGUGAGCGGGCUGCUGAAAUAGCCCGCAGGCUCAUUCAAAGUAGCGAUAGGGAAAUCCGUCGCGACAUCCGAGGAUGAGUCUCGAGUGCAAUUACGAUCACGAAGUCAUGUGCAGGACAAUCAAGAAAAGCCUCUAAGGGUUACGUUCACAGCGACCGUACUAAAACUGACACAGGUAGGCGAGGCGCGUAGCCUCAGGCGCUCGGGAGAACGCUGGUUAAGGAACUCUGCAAAUUGACCCCGUAACUUCGGGAGAAGGGGUGCCCGCUGGAUAGUAUCUGGCGGGUCACAGUAAAUCGGCUCUAGCGACUGUUUACUAAAAACACAGGACUCUGCGAACUCGUAAGAGGAAGUAUAGAGUCUGACGCCUGCUCGGUGUUGGUAGGUUAAGGAAGAGGGUCAGGGCGCAAGCCUGAAGCUCGCAACCGAAGCCCCAAUAAACGGCGGCCGUAACUAUGACGGUCCUAAGGUAGCGAAGUUCCUUGUCGGGUAAGUUCCGACCUGCAUGAAUGGCGUAACGACUGGAGCACUGUCUCAACCAGCGACCCGGUGAAAUUGUAGUCGCGGUGAAGAUGCCGCGUACCCGCAGCUAGACGGAGAGACCCCAUGAACCUUCACUGUAGGCUGAUAUUGGGUUUAGGUAGUUUCUGUGUAGGAUAGGUGGGAGGCGAAGAUCCUGGGACGCUAGUUUCAGGUUAGCCGACGUUGAAAUACCACCCUGAACCUAUUUGAAUUCUAACACCACGCUGUGAAUCCAGGUGGUGGAAAGUGUCAGUUGGGCAGUUUGACUGGGGCGGUCUCCUCCAAAAAGGUAACGGAGGAGCCCAAUGGUACCCUCAGCCUGGUUGGCAAUCAGGCGCCGAGCGUAAAGGUAGAAGGGUGCUUGACUGUGAGACUUAUCAGUCGAACAGAUACGAAAGUAGGGCUUAGUGAUCCGGCGGUGCUGGAUGGAAAGGCCGUCGCUCAACAGAUAAAAGGUACUCUGGGGAUAACAGGCUUAUCGCUUCCGAGCGUCCAUAGCGGCGAAGCGGUUUGGCACCUCGAUGUCGGCUCAUCACAUCCUGGGGGUGAAGAAGCUCCCAAGGGUUCGGCUGUUCGCCGAUUAAAGUGGUACGUGAGCUGGGUUUAAACCGUCGUGAGACAGGUUGGUCCCUAUCUGCUGUGGGCGUACGAAACUUGAGGGAUUUUCUCUUUAGUACGAGAGGAUUUUGAGGGACGUACCUCUGGUGUUCCUGUUGUCUCGUCCGAGGCAGCGCAGGGUAGCCACGUACGGUUCGGAUAAGUGCUGAAAGCAUAUAAGCACGAAGCCAGUCCCAAGAUGAGGUUUCGUUGAACGCAAGUUCGAAAGCCCCCUGGAAGACGACCAGGUUGAUAGGCCGGCGAUGUAAGGUGAGUAAUCACUUCAGUUGACUGGUACUAACGGGCGAAUGCUUGACCAC
rnacentral:rRNA from 1 species